GAGUUUGAUCAUGGCUCAGGAUGAACGCUGGCGGCGUGCUUAACACAUGCAAGUCGAACGAAGCAGGAGGGUGCUUGCACCUUCCUGACUGAGUGGCGGACGGGUGAGUAACACGUGGAUAAUCUGCCCUGCACAGGGGGACAACAGCUAGAAAUGGCUGCUAAUACCGCAUAAGCCUACAGCCUCGCAUGAGGGAGUAGGAAAAGAAAUUCGGUGCAGGAUGAGUCCGCGUCUGAUUAGCUAGUUGGAGGGGUAAGAGCCCACCAAGGCAACGAUCAGUAGCCGGCCUGAGAGGGCGACCGGCCACAUUGGGACUGAGACACGGCCCAAACUCCUACGGGAGGCAGCAGUGGGGAAUAUUGCACAAUGGGGGAAACCCUGAUGCAGCGACGCCGCGUGAGCGAGGAAGUAUUUCGGUAUGUAAAGCUCUAUCAGCAGGGACGAAAAAAGACGGUACCUGACUAAGAAGCCCCGGCUAACUACGUGCCAGCAGCCGCGGUAAUACGUAGGGGGCAAGCGUUAUCCGGAUUUACUGGGUGUAAAGGGAGCGUAGACGGCAAGGCAAGCCAGAAGUGAAAGGGCAGGGCUCAACCCUGUACAUGCUUUUGGAACUGUGGUGCUAGAGUGCAGGAGAGGUAAGUGGAAUUCCUAGUGUAGCGGUGAAAUGCGUAGAUAUUAGGAGGAACACCAGUGGCGAAGGCGGCUUACUGGACUGUAACUGACGUUGAGGCUCGAAAGCGUGGGGAGCAAACAGGAUUAGAUACCCUGGUAGUCCACGCUGUAAACGAUGAAUACUAGGUGUUGGGGGCUGAAGCCUUCGGUGCCGCAGCAAACGCAAUAAGUAUUCCACCUGGGGAGUACGUUCGCAAGAAUGAAACUCAAAGGAAUUGACGG
rnacentral:rRNA from 1 species